AAAAAAAAGGAAGUGACCACUUUUCUUGCACAGACUAAAAAACCCAGGCUGGCAUUUUUAGGUUGGGAAACCACUGAAUCGGUCAAGUCUGACAGUCAAGUGAGUUAAAAAACAAAGUAUGGAGCAUGAAUUUCCCUAUACCAUCUGCUGUGCUAAUUAACAGUCCUGCCUCAGUUCCAGAAGUCAAUGUAUUUUGGAUGAGAUAGAUUUUCUGACAAGGUGUGUUUGUUUUCUUAUGCCAGAAGGCAGAGAAGUCAAUCCUAGUCAUUUUUCUCCUUGGAUACUAAAUUCACAUAGGUCAGCUGGCUUCCUGUAGAGCCCUGAGCUUCAUCAUUUGUGACUCCAGCUUCCACGGGACUCUGAGCCUCUCACUUGUUCUCCCCUAAUAAACAAUGACCCAGACCUAACUGUGUCUUUUAAAAAUCUCAGAUCCUCCAGGAACAUCUUUAUUGCUUCCUCAUCAGUAAUUUUGCAGCAAAUU
rnacentral:lncRNA from 1 species